rnacentral:rRNA from 1 species
UCUUCCUACGGGGGGCAGCAGUGGGGAAUAUUGCGCAAUGGGGGGAACCCUGACGCAGCAACGCCGCGUGCAGGAAGAAGGUCUUCGGAUUGUAAACUGUUGUCGCAGGGGAAGAAGACAGUGACGGUACCCUGUGAGAAAGUCACGGCUAACUACGUGCCAGCAGCCGCGGUAAUACGUAGGUGACAAGCGUUAUCCGGAUUUACUGGGUGCAAAGGGAGCGUAGACGGCAGGGCAAGUCUGGAGUGAAAGGCAGGGGCCCAACCCCUGGACUGCUCUGGAAACUGUCCGGCUGGAGUGCAGGG